rnacentral:lncRNA from 1 species
UGAUACUGUUGUUUGCUUGUCCCAUGACCCAUAGGUAGAGGAUUUAAUUCUGUAAAAGCAGUCUUCUCUGCAAAAUGGGAAUAGAACUGUCUAACUCACAUGGUUAUUGUUGGUGCUAGAACAACACCAACAACAUUACAUCCUGAGUCCCAGAACAUAAAUGCUACCCCGAAUGAACUUUUAUAGACUGUUUAUAGUCCAUGUGAUGACAUAAUAGAUGAUCUCCCUACCUGAUGUGACUGGAAUGGUAUGGAGACAGCCACUCUGCAAUGUUGACUCAAAGAUCCACUACAUUAUAAUGCUCCAAGAAGAUAAGGAACACAUGUAUUUUGUCUACUUCUGAAUAUCCAAGAUUUUACCGGGUACCUGACAUACAUGUGACAACGAAUUACAGGUGGAACAACACAUAGAACUGACUGUUUUUUUCACUAUUUCACAGAACUGGGAUGGCCGAGGAUUUGAUAAUGGGAUGUGAAUCAUCCCUUUGUCCAGCGUGUUCAUGAUGUCUAUGUUACCUGUCCAUUAGUCACUUCAUCGUUGUCCGGGUUGUCAGACUGAUUUCACCUUAUUGUAGUGAUUGUGAUUCUGUGGAGAAAGACUCUUAUUGGACAGCUCUCCUUUUUGAGCAAGGUUUUCAAUCUAUAAACUGGCUGCCAGUGGAUGAAGUACCCUGUCCCUCUCCCUGUCCAAUGUGUGAGGCCAGAGGUGAAGCAGGAUCUUCUGUAUUGUACAUGGUGCUAAAGACUACUCACUAGUAGGUAUUGUGUUGUGAGCUAAGUGACUCUCUAUAUGAUACUUUUGAACAUUUAUGGAAAAAUAAGGAAUAUAGUGAUGCUGGUUGGUUGCUCCUAAUGUUACUGGAUAUGUGGUGGAAAAAAAAGAAAUGAGUUCAGUUCAGGGAGUUGAAUUCCCAGGUGAAGAAUCACAAAUGACCUAAGAGCUUCCAGGUGUGCCCUGAAGGACAACCUUAUCUCCAAUAGUUACAGGGCUGAAAAUGCUGAAAGCUGAAUGCAGAACCUCAUCUGAUGAUUGGCUAAAUUACAGCACAAGUUGAAAUCCCAGCUUCCCAGGGUGUCUACUGUUAAAGUGAGGGCAUUGAUUGCGAAAGAAUGGGAUCCAUAAUUUGAGAUGGGGCCAUGUGGGAAGACCCUGAUGAACCUGGAGUUACUGAGCCCCUAAAUUCUGAUGAACCUUCUUUGCCAGAGGGAGAUGUCUCCCCAGCCCCAGUAGAAGAGGCCUCCCCAGCCCUACUGACAGCAGCCUCCCCAGUGUCAGAGGUAUUGGCCUGUCCACCUCUGUCUGAGGGGUUUAACCCUGCAUUGCUUGAGAAAAUGGUAAGGGCCUCCCCUGAGAGAACUGCCAUGCAAGACAAUUCUGAUUCUCCGCAGGACUCACCAUGACCACUCCUCUUUGCUUCUAGACCUAUGACUGGACUCAAGUCCCAGCAGGGCCCUAAAGGUGAGGUACAAAGUAUGACCCAUAACAGGGCGCACUGAAUUCCAAAACAACUACUUGAGGUUAUUAGUUCAUACAAGCAGAAAUCCAGGAAACAUGUAUGGGAAUUAUGGAUGUGGAACAUAUGUGGGAAUUAAGGGUGUGGAAAAAUGGUAGAAGGAACAUAAAAUUGGAUCAGGCUGAAUUUAUUGAUAUGGGCUCAGUAAGCAGAGAUUCUGCAUUCAAUAUUGUGGCUUGGCAGAAAGGGCUCUAACUGGUAGGGUGAAGCAAAGAUGAAAAGAUGGUCCACCAUAAAUGAAUUGGAAAUGCCUGACCUCCCUUAGUUUAAUAGAGAGGAAGAAAUUCAAAGGCUUAAGGAGAUUGGAAGAUUGGAGUGGAUUUGUCAUUUACCUUACUCACCUAUGCUGAAAGGGUCCAGAAGACAUACCUUUCACCAAUACUUUGAGAAAUACUUUGAAUAAAUAAAUAAAUAAAUGUUGAGGAGAUACCCAGCAUCUUUGUCAAGCUUUGUGGUUGCUCUUUUUUGUAGGCUCCACCUCACAAUAGGAACCACAGUCAUUCGACUGGAAAACCUAAAUGCAAUGGGAUUUUCUAGAUCCCAUUUUUUUUCUCCAGUUCUGGAAUGCAUAAUUAAAAUAGACAUAUUUAGCAGGCAGAAGUCCUCUA